rnacentral:rRNA from 1 species
UUCGGAGACACUCGAGUGGCGAACGGGUGAGUAACACGUGGGCAAUCUGCCCUGCACACCGGGAUAAGCCUGGGAAACUGGGUCUAAUACCGGAUAGGACCACUUGGCGCAUGCCUUGUGGUGGAAAGCUUUUGCGGUGUGGGAUGGGCCCGCGGCCUAUCAGCUUGUUGGUGGGGUGACGGCCUACCAAGGCGACGACGGGUAGCCGGCCUGAGAGGGUGUCCGGCCACACUGGGACUGAGAUACGGCCCAGCCUCCUACGGGAGGCAGCAGUGGGGAAUAUUGCACAAUGGGCGCAAGCCUGAUGCAGCGACGCCGCGUGGGGGAUGACGGCCUUUCGGGUUGUAAACCUCUUUCACCAUCGACGAAGGUCCGGGUUCUCUCGGAUUGACGGUAGGUGGAGAAGAAGCACCGGCCAACUACGUGCCAGCAGCCGCGGUAAUACGUAGGGUGCGAGCGUUGUCCGGAAUUACUGGGCGUAAAGAGCUCGUAGGUGGUUUGUCGCGUUGUUCGUGAAAUCUCACGGCUUAACUGUGAGCGUGCGGGCGAUACGGGCAGACUAGAGUACUGCAGGGGAGACUGGAAUUCCUGGUGUAGCGGUGGAAUGCGCAGAUAUCAGGAGGAACACCGGUGGCGAAGGCGGGUCUCUGGGCAGUAACUGACGCUGAGGAGCGAAAGCGUGGGGAGCGAACAGGAUUAGAUACCCUGGUAGUCCACGCCGUAAACGGUGGGUACUAGGUGUGGGUUUCCUUCCUUGGGAUCCGUGCCGUAGCUAACGCAUUAAGUACCCCGCCUGGGGAGUACGGCCGCAAGGCUAAAACUCAAAGGAAUUGACGGGGGCCCGCACAAGCGGCGGAGCAUGUGGAUUAAUUCGAUGCAACGCGAAGAACCUUACCUGGGUUUGACAUGCACAGGACGCGUCUAGAGAUAGGCGUUCCCUUGUGGCCUGUGUGCAGGUGGUGCAUGGCUGUCGUCAGCUCGUGUCGUGAGAUGUUGGGUUAAGUCCCGCAACGAGCGCAACCCUUGUCUCAUGUUGCCAGCGGGUAAUGCCGGGGACUCGUGAGAGACUGCCGGGGUCAACUCGGAGGAAGGUGGGGAUGACGUCAAGUCAUCAUGCCCCUUAUGUCCAGGGCUUCACACAUGCUACAAUGGCCGGUACAAAGGGCUGCGAUGCCGCGAGGUUAAGCGAAUCCUUUUAAAGCCGGUCUCAGUUCGGAUCGGGGUCUGCAACUCGACCCCGUGAAGUCGGAGUCGCUAGUAAUCGCAGAUCAGCAACGCUGCGGUGAAUACGUUCCCGGGCCUUGUACACACCGCCCGUCACGUCAUGAAAGUCGGUAACACCCGAAGCCAGUGGCCUAACCCU